UACGUAGGGUGCAAGCGUUGUCCGGAAUUACUGGGCGUAAAGAGUUCGUAGGCGGUUUGUCGCGUCGUUUGUGAAAACCAGCAGCUCAACUGCUGGCUUGCAGGCGAUACGGGCAGACUUGAGUACUGCAGGGGAGACUGGAAUUCCUGGUGUAGCGGUGAAAUGCGCAGAUAUCAGGAGGAACACCGGUGGCGAAGGCGGUUCUCUGGGCAUUACCUGACGCUGAGGAGCGAAAGUGUGGGGAGCGAACAGG
rnacentral:rRNA from 1 species